ACGCUCGACACCUACGGAGGCAGCAGUGGGGGAUAUUGCACAAUGGAGGGAACUCUGAUGCAGCGACGCCGCGUGAGGGAAGACGGUCCUCUGGAUUGUAAACCUCUGUCGGAAGGGACGAAGACGUGACGGUACCUUCCGAGGAAGCUCCGGCUAACUACGUGCCAGCAGCCGCGGUAAUCUGAGGCGGCUGGCAAGGC
rnacentral:rRNA from 1 species